UAGUCUGCAAUCGACUUUAGGU
rnacentral:miRNA from 1 species